rnacentral:rRNA from 1 species
GACGAACGCUGGCGGCAUGCCUAAUACAUGCAAGUCGAGCGGGGAAGGGUAGCUUGCUACAUUACCUAGCGGCGGACGGGUGAGUAAUGCUUAGGAAUCUGCCUAUUAGUGGGGGACAACAUUCCGAAAGGAAUGCUAAUACCGCAUACGCCCUACGGGGGAAAGCAGGGGAUCUUCGGACCUUGCGCUAAUAGAUGAGCCUAAGUCAGAUUAGCUAGUUGGUGGGGUAAAGGCCUACCAAGGCGACGAUCUGUAGCGGGUCUGAGAGGAUGAUCCGCCAAACUGGGACUGAGACACGGCCCAGACUCCUACGGGAGGCAGCAGUGGGGAAUAUUGGACAAUGGGCGAAAGCCUGAUCCAGCCAUGCCGCGUGUGUGAAGAAGGCCUUUUGGUUGUAAAGCACUUUAAGCGAGGAGGAGGCUACUUGGAUUAAUACUCUAGGAUAGUGGACGUUACUCGCAGAAUAAGCACCGGCUAACUCUGUGCCAGCCGCCGCAGUAA